GCCGGGCAUGGUGGCGGGUGCCUGUAAUCCCAGCUUUUUGGGAGGCUGAGGUGGGAGAAUCGCUUGAACCCAGGGAGCAGAGGUUGCAGUGAGCUGAGAUUGCACCACUGCACUCCAGCCUGGGCAACAGAGUGAGACUCCAUCUCAA
rfam:Homo sapiens chromosome 16, GRCh38 reference primary assembly.